GACGAACGCUGGCGGCGUGCCUAAUACAUGCAAGUAGAACGCUGAAGGAAGGAGCUUGCUCUUUCCGGAUGAGUUGCGAACGGGUGAGUAACGCGUAGGUAACCUGCCUGGUAGCGGGGGAUAACUAUUGGAAACGAUAGCUAAUACCGCAUAACAGUAGAUAUCGCAUGAUAUGUGCUUGAAAGGUGCAAUUGCACCACUACCAGAUGGACCUGCGUUGUAUUAGCUAGUUGGUGAGGUAACGGCUCACCAAGGCAACGAUACAUAGCCGACCUGAGAGGGUGAUCGGCCACACUGGGACUGAGACACGGCCCAGACUCCUACGGGAGGCAGCAGUAGGGAGUCUUCGGCAAUGGACGGAAGUCUGACCGAGCAACGCCGCGUGAGUGAAGAAGGUUUUCGGAUCGUAAAGCUCUGUUGUAAGAGAAGAACGAGUGUGAGAGUGGAAAGUUCACACUGUGACGGUAUCUUACCAGAAAGGGACGGCUAACUACGUGCCAGCAGCCGCGGUAAUACGUAGGUCCCGAGCGUUGUCCGGAUUUAUUGGGCGUAAAGCGAGCGCAGGCGGUUAGAUAAGUCUGAAGUUAAAGGCUGUGGCUUAACCAUAGUACGCUUUGGAAACUGUUUAACUUGAGUGCAAGAGGGGAGAGUGGAAUUCCAUGUGUAGCGGUGAAAUGCGUAGAUAUAUGGAGGAACACCGGUGGCGAAAGCGGCUCUCUGGCUUGUAUCUGACGCUGAGGCUCGAAAGCGUGGGGAGCAAACAGG
rnacentral:rRNA from 1 species